GACGAACCGUGCGAACGUUAUUCGGAAUCACUGGGCUUAAAGCGCGUGUAGGCGGAUCGGAACGUCGGUCGCUGAAAUCCCCCGGCUUAACCGGGGAACGGGCGCCGAAACGACCGGUCUGGAGGAACGUAGGGGGAGCUGGAACUUCCGGUGGAGCGGUGAAAUGCGUUGAGAUCGGAAGGAACGCCCGUGGCGAAAGCGAGCUCCUGGACGUUUUUCUGACGCUGAGACGCGAAAAGCCAGGGGAGCGAACGGGG
rnacentral:rRNA from 1 species